rnacentral:rRNA from 1 species
AAGGAAUAUUGGACAAUGCCCGCAAGGGUGAUCCAGCCAUCCCGCGUGCAGGAAGACGGCCCUAUGGGUUGUAAACUGCUUUUAUCAGGGAAGAAACCCCUUGACUUGUUGAGGGUUGACGGUACCUGAUGAAUAAGCACCGGCUAACUCCGUGCCAGCAGCCGCGGUAAUACGGAGGGUGCAAGCGUUAUCCGGAAUCACUGGGUUUAAAGGGUGCGUAGGCGGCUAUAUAAGUCAGAGGUGAAAGGCUACGGCUUAACUGUGGGAUUGCCUUUGAUACUGUAUAGCUGGAAUCAGGUUGAAGUUAGUGGAAUGCGGCAUGUAGCGGUGAAAUGCAUAGAUAUGUCGUAGAACACCGAUUGCGAAGGCAGCUAACUGGGCUUGAAUUGACGCUGAGGCACGAAAGCGUGGGGAUCGAAC